rnacentral:rRNA from 1 species
GAUGAACGCUGGCGGCGUGCUUAACACAUGCAAGUCGAACGGAAAGGCUCCUGCUUGCAGGGGUACUCGAGUGGCGAACGGGUGAGUAACACGUGGGUGAUCUGCCCUGCACUUCGGGAUAAGCCUGGGAAACUGGGUCUAAUACCGGAUUGGACGAUGGUUUGGAUGCCAUUGUGGAAAGUUUUUCGGUGUGGGAUGAGCUCGCGGCCUAUCAGCUUGUUGGUGGGGUAAUGGCCUACCAAGGCGUCGACGGGUAGCCGGCCUGAGAGGGUGUACGGCCACAUUGGGACUGAGAUACGGCCCAGACUCCUACGGGAGGCAGCAGUGGGGAAUAUUGCACAAUGGGCGCAAGCCUGAUGCAGCGACGCCGCGUGGGGGAUGACGGCCUUCGGGUUGUAAACUCCUUUCGCUAGGGACGAAGCGCAAGUGACGGUACCUGGAGAAGAAGCACCGGCUAACUACGUG